GAGUGAUUUCUUAUUACGUUCGAUGUUUCGAAUUGUUAUCAAACUUUGAGCAUAUAAUCUCCUUAAUCCAAUUCGAUAAACGAAAUCGUGCCACGAGCUGCCAUUUUGCUGUCGAAUGUCGUGCUGUUUGGUGGCUUCGUUUCGCUUUCAGUUCUCGCUUCUUAAUUCAUAAUGGUUGUGCAAUAAUUUUCAUGGAAUAUCAAUAGCAAUAUCAAUAGCAAAUUCACAUCUAAUGUUUUCUCUGCGAAUUCAGUUCGUGGAGAUACCAUUUACCGGACGAUUUAUUGGAAAUUAAAACUCCGAUUUCUUGCCUCCCCACCAAAGAAAGGGAUGCAAAAAGAAUAUUUAAGACUAUUAAGUUUAUCGGGGUAUUGUUGCUGAUUAUAGUUAUUGAGAAAUUUUAUCAGUUUUAGAACUUUUAAGGUAGUUUAUUUAUUUAUUUAUUUAUUUUUAAAUAUUUUAAA